rnacentral:rRNA from 1 species
AGGCAUGCAGUCGUGCGGAAAGGCCCUUCGGGGUACUCGAGCGGCGAAAGGGAGAGUAACGCGNUGGAUUACCUACCCCCGGGUUCCGGGAUAGCUGUGGGAAACCGCAGGUAAUACCGGAUAACGUCUCCGGACCAAAGGUGAGAUUCCGCCUGGGGACGGGUCCGCGUCCUAUUAGCUUGUUGGUGGGGUAACGGCCUACCAAGGCGACGAUGGGUACCGGGCGUGAGAGCGUGGCCCGGCUCACUGGGACUGAGACACUGCCCAGACACCUACGGGUGGCUGCAGUCGAGAAUCUUCGGCAAUGGGCGAAAGCCUGACCGAGCGACGCCGCGUGCGGGAUGAAGGCCUUCGGGUUGUAAACCGCUGUCAGAGGGGAUGAAAUGCUAGGGGGUUCACCCCUUAGUUUGACAAAUCCUCAGAGGAAGUACGGGCUAAGUUCGUGCCAGCAGCCGCGGUAAU